AUUGAACGCUGGCGGCAGGCCUAACACAUGCAAGUCGAACGAGUGGCGGACGGGUGAGUAAUGUCUGGGAAACUGCCCGAUGGAGGGGGAUAACUACUGGAAACGGUAGCUAAUACCGCAUACCAUCGGAUGUGCCCAGAUGGGAUUAGCUUGUAGGUGAGGUAACGGCUCACCUAGGCGACGAGCCCUAGCUGGUCUGAGAGGAUGACCAGCCACACUGGAAUGGAGAGACUGGCCAGAAUCCUACGGGAUGCAGCAGUGGGGAAUAUUGCACAAGGGGCGCAAGCCUGAUGCCGCCAGGCCGCGUGUAGGAAGAAGGCCUUCGUGUUGUAAAGUACUUUCAGCGGGGAGGCGGUACCCGCAGAAGAAGCACCGGUUAACUCCGUGCCAGCAGCCGCGGUAAUUC
rnacentral:rRNA from 1 species